GACGAACGCUGGCGGCGUGCUUAACACAUGCAAGUCGAACGGUGAAGCGCCUUCCUUUUUGGUGGGUGUGGAUGAGUGGCGAACGGGUGAGUAACACGUGAGUAACCUGCCCCCUUCUUCUGGACAACCGCAUGAAAGUGUGGCUAAUACUGGAUAUUCUGGGUCUGUCGCCUGAUGGGUCUGGGUCAGUUCUUGUUUCGGUGGGGGAUGGGCUCGCGGCCUUUCAGCUUGUUGGUGCGGUCAUGGCCUACCAAGGCGGUGACGUGUAGCCGGCCUAUGAUGGUGGACGGUCACAGUGGGACUGGGACACCGCCCAUACACAUACGGGAGAGAGCAGUGGGGAGUAUGGCACAAUAGGCGCAAGCCUGUUGCAGCGACGCCGCGUGAGGGAGGGGGGCCUUCGGGUUGUGUACCUCUUUCGCCAGAGAAGCAGGCCGGCCGCAUAUAUGGGUGGGUUGACGGUAGCUGGAAAAGAAGCGCCGGCUAACUACGUG
rnacentral:rRNA from 1 species